rnacentral:rRNA from 1 species
AACGAACGCUGGCGGCAGGCUUAACACAUGCAAGUCGAACGCCCUGCAAGGGGAGUGGCAGACGGGUGAGUAACGCGUGGGAAUCUACCCAUCCCUACGGAACAACUCCGGGAAACUGGAGCUAAUACCGUAUACGCCCUUAGGGGGAAAGAUUUAUCGGGGAUGGAUGAGCCCGCGUUGGAUUAGCUAGUAGGUGGGGUAAAGGCCUACCAAGGCGACGAUCCAUAGCUGGUCUGAGAGGAUGAUCAGCCACAUUGGGACUGAGACACGGCCCAAACUCCUACGGGAGGCAGCAGUGGGGAAUAUUGGACAAUGGGCGCAAGCCUGAUCCAGCCAUGCCGCGUGAGUGAUGAAGGCCUUAGGGUUGUAAAGCUCUUUCACCGAUGAAGAUAAUGACGGUAGUCGGAGAAGAAGCCCCGGCUAACUUCGUGCCAGCAGCCGCCGUAACAC